UACGUAGGGUGCGAGCGUUAAUCGGAUUUACUGGGCGUAAAGCGCGCGUAGGCGGGAGGAGAAGUCCGGUGUGAAAGCCCACGGCUCAACCGUGGAAGGUCGCUGGAAACUCUUCUUCUUGAGGGCGACAGAGGGAAGUGGAAUUGCUGGUGUAGCGGUGAAAUGCGUAGAUAUCAGCAGGAACACCCAUGGCGAAGGCAGCUUCCUGGGUCGGCCCUGACGCUGAGGCGCGAAAGCGUGGGGAGCGAACGGG
rnacentral:rRNA from 1 species